UGUUUUGAAAACCGGACCGGACCGGCCGGUCCGACCGGUUCAACCGCGAACCGCCGCCAUGUCCGGUCCGGUUAUAUGUGAAAACCCAAAAACGUCAAAAAACCGGGUCAACUACCAAAAUCCGGGUUCGACCGGUUAGAACCGGAAAAGUGGAAAACCGGCCCAAGAACCGGUUUUUAGCUCAAAAGAAAAUUUCAUGGCCGGAUCCGCAACGAUGGUGGUCGUGG
rnacentral:lncRNA from 1 species